AGACAAGCCACGAUCGAGAUCUGCUAUCGAGGUUCAUGUCGUCGAGCGCCGAUCUGGAGUUCCAAGACCUAGAGGAGAAGAGGAAGUGUUGGAGGUUAUAGGUUUGAGAGAGAAAAAGAGGUUACUUGAAGUAUUACACCAAGAGACGUCAAGUUUGGAACGCUCAACAGUGUUACCUCCAGCGUAGGGAAACCCUAGAGUUUUUAUAUGCAAGUUAUUGGGUUUCGGCUCAUAUGGACCAAAAUAACCAUGCUUUGUUACCUCCAGCGUAGGGAAACCCUAGAGUUUUUAUAUGCAAGUUAUUGGGUUUCGGCUCAUAUGGACCAAAAUAACCAUGCUUUGACCUAUUGGGCUUAUAUGUGAACAUAUUAUUUUGUACUAUAUUAACAAUAUAUCAAACAAUAUCCUUCUAUGUUCACCAUA
rnacentral:lncRNA from 1 species